CAUCAACACCAUCACCAUCAUCUAAACCAGCAGCUUCCACUGUGAUCUCGGUGUCUGUAAUUCUGCUGCUGCUUCUGAUUGGAAUCAUAUUCCUCACUUUCACUCUUCAAAAGAGACGCAGGAUGCACGGUCACUGCAUAAAACACUCGUGGAACCACGCCAACCACUGGGGAUUCUUAUGGACCAGAAUCAGAAGAUAAGGGUCGUCUCACAGAAGCAAAGGUACGAAGUGAUGGAAUGGCUCGCCAGUCCCGGCCGGAAUACGAAUAUUCAGCAAGGACAGGAUUCAGGAACAAUUUUCACAAAAAAAUAAAAACCCAGCCAAGGAGAAGAAUAAAUCAGGAAAAAAAAUGAAGUUGUUUUUUUUUUUUUCCCAGAAAAGAUUUAUAUUGUAUUGCGUCAGUCUCAUCAAUUCCCGUUCAAACGAGCACACAAUACUGUUAAUUUGUGCAAUCGCGGUUUCUCUCGGUCAAGUUCACUCUCAUUCUACCUGCUUGUCUGCUAACGUUCGGCAAGGGGCGGGACUAACCUUUCACCUCGCCAAUGAGCAAUCGGCUCAAAAAAUUUAAAUUUAAAUUUAUAAAGAAAUUUUCCUGCAUUUUUCUUCUUUCUUUUUCUAUAUAUUUAUACAUUUUAUAAAAAUAAUAAUUAUAUAAAAUGGCAAUAAAAUGCUAGUGACCUAGGUUAAUGACCUGGGUUACAUUAAGUACAACACAUACUUAUUAAUUAUUUCCAGCACCUUUUGCUACAGCAGUUUUACCUUGUCUUUUGGGAGUCUAUCAGUUUAGCACUGACUUUUGGACCAGUUUUGUUAAGCAAACGUGUCCUACUGUAGAUCUGUUAUAUUGUGAGAUAAUCUCCUGCCACAGACACCAAAAAUACUUUCUAUUGAUUACUAUUCUAUUAGUCGCGUUCAGUUUUACGAAAAAAAGGAAAAUUUGUGUCCAUGUACAAGAAUCAAUCGAUUAAAUUUUGUGACUAUAAUCACAAAAUGCCAUGAGUCUGGGCUCCACUGUACAGCACUGUUCAAAUCAUUCCAUGUGUUUUGGCA